GAAGGUAUAGCUCAAGUGGUAGAGUACAUGCUUAGCAUGCACGAGGUCCUGGGUUCAAUCCCCAGUACCUCCU
rnacentral:tRNA from 1 species